rnacentral:rRNA from 1 species
CCUACGGGAGGCAGCAGUGAGGAAUAUUGGUCAAUGGGCGAAAGCCUGAACCAGCCAUGUCGCGUGAAGGAUGAAGGUCCUAUGGAUUGUAAACUUCUUUUGCAGGAGGGUAAAGUGAGCUACGUGUAGUUCAUUGCAAGUACCCUGCGAAUAAGCAUCGGCUAACUCCGUGCCAGCAGCCGCGGUAAU